rnacentral:rRNA from 1 species
CUCGCCUGUUUAUCAAAAACAUGUCCUCAUGAUUUUAUUUGAGGUUUGGCCUGCCCGGUGAUUUAUAUUUAACGGCCGCGGUAUAUUGACCGUGCAAAGGUAGCAUAAUCAUUAGUCUUUUAAUAGGGGGCUGGAAUGAAAGGUUUCACGAAAAAUUAACUGUCUCAAUUAUAAUUUUGAAUUUAACUUUUAAGUUAAAAGGCUUAAAUUUUGUUGGAGGACGAGAAGACCCUAUAGAGCUUUACAUGUUAUUUUAGGUAAUUUUAUUUAGUUAAAUAAUUUAAUUUUAUUUGAAUGUGUGUUUUGUUGGGGUGACAAGAAAUACAUGAUUAACUUUUAUUAUUUUUUAUUCAUUAAUUUAUGUUUAUUGGAUCCGGAAUUUCUGAUCAUUAGAUUAAGUUACCUUAGGGAUAACAGCGUAAUCUUCCUUCAGAGUUCAAAUUUACAGGAAGGCUUGCGACCUCGAUGUUGGAUUAAGAUAAUAAUUGGGUGCAGUAGCUUAAUUAAUAGGUCUGUUCGACCUUUAAAUUCUUACAGUUCGGA